GUGAAUGAAAUGAAAGUAAAGACGUCAAGGCAAUCACAAACACAAUGAUUUUAUAGUGGUUCGGAGCUAACCCUUGCUCCUACGUCCACUCCCCAAGCCUCACUUGGGAAUUCACUAUAACCCCUCGGAUUACAGCCGGUUGUUUUACAAGCUCACAACCCAACUUGUUGUUUUACGAGGUCACAACGAACUCGGUCGGUUUUCCCA
rnacentral:lncRNA from 1 species